CGGGAUGUAGUAUAACGGUAGUACACCGCGCUGGGGGUGCGGUAACCAGGGUUCAAUUCCCUGCAUCCCGA
rfam:Candidatus Levybacteria bacterium RIFCSPLOWO2_02_FTLL_36_8b rifcsplowo2_02_scaffold_6126, whole genome shotgun sequence.